GACGAACGCUGUGUGGCGUGCUUAACACAUGCAAGUCGAACGGAAAGGCCCUGCUUUUGUGGGGUGCUCGAGUGGCGAACGGGUGAGUAACACGUGAGUAACCUGCCCUUGACUUUGGGAUAACUUCAGGAAACUGGGGCUAAUACCGGAUAGGAGCUCCUGCUGCAUGGUGGGGGUUGGAAAGUUUCGGCGGUUGGGGAUGGACUCGCGGCUUAUCAGCUUGUUGGUGGGGUAGUGGCUUACCAAGGCUUUGACGGGUAGCCGGCCUGAGAGGGUGACCGGCCACAUUGGGACUGAGAUACGGCCCAGACUCCUACGGGAGGCAGCAGUGGGGAAUAUUGCACAAUGGGCGGAAGCCUGAUGCAGCAACGCCGCGUGCGGGAUGACGGCCUUCGGGUUGUAAACCGCUUUCGCCUGUGACGAAGCGUGAGUGACGGUAAUGGGUAAAGAAGCACCGGCUAACUACGUGCCAGCAGCCGCGGUGAUACGUAGGGUGCGAGCGUUGUCCGGAUUUAUUGGGCGUAAAGGGCUCGUAGGUGGUUGAUCGCGUCGGAAGUGUAAUCUUGGGGCUUAACCCUGAGCGUGCUUUCGAUACGGGUUGACUUGAGGAAGGUAGGGGAGAAUGGAAUUCCUGGUGGAGCGGUGGAAUGCGCAGAUAUCAGGAGGAACACCAGUGGCGAAGGCGGUUCUCUGGGCCUUUCCUGACGCUGAGGAGCGAAAGCGUGGGGAGCGAACAGGCUUAGAUACCCUGGUAGUCCACGCUGUAAACGGUGGGUACUAGGUGUGGGGUCCAUUCCACGGGUUCCGUGCCGUAGCUAACGCUUUAAGUACCCCGCCUGGGGAGUACGGCCGCAAGGCUAAGACUCAAAGGAAUUGACGGGGCCCCGCACAAGCGGCGGAGCAUGCGGAUUAAUUCGAUGCAACGCGUAGAACCUUACCUGGGUUUGACAUGGAUCGGGAGUGCUCAGAGAUGGGUGUGCCUCUUUUGGGGUCGGUUCACAGGUGGUGCAUGGCUGUCGUCAGCUCGUGUCGUGAGAUGUUGGGUUAAGUCCCGCAACGAGCGCAACCCUUGUUCACUGUUGCCAGCACGUUAUGGUGGGGACUCAGUGGAGACCGCCGGGGUCAACUCGGAGGAAGGUGGGGAUGACGUCAAGUCAUCAUGCCCCUUAUGUCCAGGGCUUCACGCAUGCUACAAUGGCUGGUACAGAGAGUGGCGAGCCUGUGAGGGUGAGCGAAUCUCGGAAAGCCGGUCUCAGUUCGGAUUGGGGUCUGCAACUCGACCUCAUGAAGUCGGAGUCGCUAGUAAUCGCAGAUCAGCAACGCUGCGGUGAAUACGUUCCCGGG
rnacentral:rRNA from 1 species